AUUGAACGCUGGCGGCAGGCCUAACACAUGCAAGUCGGACGGUAGCACAGAGGAGCUUGCUCCUCGGGUGACGAGUGGCGGACGGGUGAGUAAUGUCUGGGAAACUGCCCGAUGGAGGGGGAUAACUACUGGAAACGGUAGCUAAUACCGCAUAGCGUCGCAAGACCAAAGUGGGGGACCUUCGGGCCUCACACCAUCGGAUGUGCCCAGAUGGGAUUAGCUGGUAGGCGGGGUAACGGCCCACCUAGGCGACGAUCCCUAGCUGGUCUGAGAGGAUGACCAGCCACACUGGAACUGAGACACGGUGCAGACUCAUACGGGAGGCAGCAGUGGGGAAUAUUGCACAAUGGGCGCAAGCCUGAUGCAGCCAUGCCGCGUGUAUGAAGAAGGCCUUCGGGUUGUAAAGUACUUUCAGCGGGGAGGAAGGUGCUGAGGUUAAUAAGCUCAGCAAUUGACGUUACCCGCAGAAGAAGCACCGGCUAACUCCGUGCCAGCCGCCGCCGUAA
rnacentral:rRNA from 1 species